GACGAACGCUGGCGGCGUGCCUAACACAUGCAAGUCGAACGGGGUAAUUUCUUCGGAGAUUACUUAGUGGCGAACGGGUGAGUAACGCGUGAGAAACCUGCCUUUCAGAGGGGGAAUAACAUUUGGAAACGAAUGGUAAUACCGCAUAAAGUUAUCGGACCGCAUGAUCUGAUAACCAAAGGAGCUAAUCCGCUGAAAGAUGGACUCGCGUCCGAUUAGCUAGUUGGAGAGGUAACGGCGUCCCCAAGGCGACGAUCGGUAGCCGGACUGAGAGGUUGAACGGCCACAUUGGGACUGAGACACGGGCCCAG
rnacentral:rRNA from 1 species